rnacentral:sRNA from 1 species
AGAAAAUCCAAACAAAUACAAAUGACAGUUCAGAAAUAGAAUAUACAAUGUCUCACUCUGUCACCCAGGCUGGAGUGCAGUGGCACAGUCUUGGCUCACUGCAACCUCAGCCUCCCAGGUUCAAGUGAUUCUCCUGCCUCAUCCUCCCAAGUAACUGGGAUUACAGGAACAAAUAUCCUAUAUUAUUCCAAUAGAUGAGAAACUGUACACUGUGCACCUUAAACAAAGAUAUUUUUUAGCAGAUAAUUUUAUGAUCUAUUUGUACAAUCAAGGAUCCAUGAAUACUUAUUCUUCAGAUAUUCAGACUCAAUGCUACUAUCAAGGAAAUAUUGAAGGAUAUCCAGAUUCCAUGGUCACACUCAGCACGUGCUCUGGACUAAGAGGAAUACUGCAAUUUGAAAAUGUUUCUUAUGGAAUUGAGCCUCUGGAAUCUGCAGUUGAAUUUCAGCAUGUUCUUUACAAAUUAAAGAAUGAAGACAAUGAUAUUGCAAUUUUUAUUGACAGAAGCCUGAAAGAACAACCAAUGGAUGACAACAUUUUUAUAAGUGAAAAAUCAGAACCAGCUGUUCCAGAUUUAUUUCCUCUUUAUCUAGAAAUGCAUAUUGUGGUGGACAAAACUUUGUUUGAUUACUGGGGCUCUGAUAGCAUGAUAGUAACAAAUAAAGUCAUCGAAAUUGUUGGCCUUGCAAAUUCAAUGUUCACCCAAUUUAAAGUUACUAUUGUGCUGUCAUCAUUGGAGUUAUGGUCAGAUGAAAAUAAGAUUUCUACAGUUGGUGAGGCAGAUGAAUUAUUGCAAAAAUUUUUAGAAUGGAAACAAUCUUAUCUUAACCUAAGGCCUCAUGAUAUUGCAUAUCUACUAAUGUAAGAAUAAUGUUUCAUUAUUCCUAGAAAGAAAACAAAGACCUGUGAUAAUUAUGUGGCUUAAUGUAAGGAAUUAUUAUUCAUUUCUGAAUAUCCAUGCUUUGAUUAUUUAGUAUGUGCUUUAUUCAGGCUUUAUGCUCAAUUUCUAGUUGUCAGGCAAUAAAAAACAUUACUAACAUUUAUUUCUAUGCUAAUAAAGCUUUUAUAAAUGAAGACAUUGAGAGUUUCAAGAGGUUAAGCCAUCUCAGGACUCUUGGAUCUGGUGGUACUACUAGGUUUGAACCCACACUUCAUAACUCUAGAGCCAAAACUCUUAACCACUACUUAAAGAGAUGGGAUUUAUCUUGAGAGGUUUACAUUCUUAAAUAAGCUUUGACCAAAGACUUGGUAAAUGUGGCUACAAAGACUUUACCCUAAUGAAUUUUCUGAGUAAUUUUAAAAUGUUAGUUUUCUAAUUAUAAAUUAUAGCUAUAUAUUUAUAAUUGUAUUCAUAUUAAAUUUAUUAGCAAUAAUUAGCAAGUGUCUUUCAAUGAAAUUAUACAUGUCUAUAUAUGUAUUUAAGUUUGGUAUGUCAGUGUUUUCUUUUGCUUGUGUGAGACUAAUCUUUCCCUCACAUCUCUGCCAGCCAUAAAUGUUACUGCUCUUUUAAUUUUUGGUAGUCUGAUGGAUAUAACUUAAUAUCAUUGUCAUUUUAAUUUGCUUUUUUUCUGAUGACUGCUGGAUUUGAGCAUCUUUUCAAAUGCUUGCUGAUCAUUUGUAUCUGUCCUUCUGUAAUUACCUUUUCUUGUCAUUUGACUACUUCCCUAUAAUUUGUAAGGGUUUUUAAAAAAUAAUUUCAUUAUCUUUUAUAUUUAUAUUUUUUCCCCAUAAGUUAUUGGGGUACAGGUGAUAUUUGGUUACAUGAGUAAGUUCUUUAGUGGUGAUUUAUGAGAUUUUGGUGCACCCAUCACCUGAGCAGUAUACACUGAACCCUAUUUGUAGUCUUUUAUCCCUCACCCCACCUCCCACUCUUCCCCCCAGUCCCCACAGUCCAUUGUAUCAUUCUUAUGCGUUUGCCUCAUAGCUUAGCUCCCACAUAUUGGUGAGAACAUACGAUGUUUGGUUUUCCAUUCUUGAGUUACUUCACUUAGAAUAAUAGUCUCCAAUCUCAUCCAGGUUGCUGCAAAUGCAGUCAAUUCAUUCCUUUUUAUGGCUGAGUAGUAUUCCAUCACAUUGCCACAGUUUUUUUAUCCACUGGUUGAUUGAUGGGCAUUUGGGUUGGUUCCAUGAUUUUGCAAUUGUGAAUUGUGCUGCUAUAAACAUGCGUGUGUAAGUAUCUUUUUCCAUUAAUGACUUCUUUUCCUCUGGGUAGAUACCCAGUAGUGGGAUUGCUGGAUCAAAUGGUAGUUCUGCUUUUAGAUCUUUAAGGAAUCUUCACACUGUUUUCCAUAGUGGCUGUACUAGUUUACAUUCCCACCAGCAGUGUAGAAAUGUUCCAUGAUCACUGCAUCCACACCAACAUCUACUGUUUUUUGAUUUUUUGAUUAUGGCCUUUAUUGGAGGAGUAAGGUGGUUUUACAUUGUGGUUUUGAUUUGCAUUUCCCUGCUCAUUAGUGUUGAGCAUUUUUUUCAUAUGUUUGUUGGCCAUUUGUAUAUCUUCUUUUGAGAAUUGUCUAUUCAUGUCCUUAGCCCACUUUUUGAUGGGAUUGUUUGUUUUUUUCUUACUGAUUUGUUUGAGUUCAUUGUAGGUUCUGGAUAUUAGUCCUUUGUCAGAUGUAUAGAUUGUGAAGAUUUUCUCUCACUCUGUGGGUUGUCUGUUUACUGUGCUGACUGUUCCUUUUGCUGUGUGAAAGCUCUUUAGUUUAAUUAAGUCCCAACUAUUUAUCUUUGUUUUUAUUGCAUUUGCUUUUGAGGUCUUUGUCGUGAAAUUCUUGCCUAAGCCAAUGUCUGGAAGGGGUUUUCCAAUGUUAUCUUCUAGAAUUUUUAUAGUUUCAGAUCUUAGUUUAAGUCCUUAGGUUAAAUCCAUCUUGAGUUGAUUUUUGUUUAAGGUGAGAGAUGAGGAUCCAGUUUCAUCUCCUACAUGUGGCUUGGGAAUUAUCCCAGCACCAUUUGUUGAAUAGGUUGUCCUCUCCCCACUUUAUGUUUUUGUUUGCUUUGCUGAAGAUCAGUUGGCUGUAAGUAUUUGGGUUUAUUUCUGGGUUCUCUAUUCUGUUCCAUUGAUCUACAUGCCUAUUUUUAUACCAGUAUCAUGCUGUUUUGGUGACUAUGGCCUUACAGUAUAGUUUCAAAUCAGUUAGUGUGAUGGCUCCAGAUUUGUUCUUUUUGCUUAGUCUUGCUUUGGCUGUGCGGGCUGUUUUUAGGUUCCAUAUGAAUUUUAGAAUUUUUUUUCUAAUUCUGUGAAGAAUGAUGGUGGUAUUUUGAUGGGGAUUGAAUUGAAUUUUUAGACUGCUUUUGGCAGUAUGAUCAUUUUCACAAUAUUGAUUCUAUCCAUCCAUGAGCAUGGGAUGUGUUUCAAUUUGUUUGUGUCAUCUAUGAUUUCUUUCGGCAUUGUUUUGUAGUUUUCCUUGUAGAGGUCUUUCUACUCCUUGGUUAAGUAUAUUCCUAAGUAUUUUAUUUUUUUGCAGCUAUUGUGAAAGGGGUUGAGUUCUUGAUUUGAUUCUCUGCUUGAUCACUGUUGGUGUUAUAGAAGAACUACUGAUUUGUGUACAUUAAUCUUGUAUCUGGAAACUUUGCUGAAUUCUUUUAUUAGAUCUAGGAGCUUUCUGGAGGAGUCUUUAGAAUUUUCAAGGUAAAUGAUCGUAUCAUCACCAAACGUGACAGUUUGACUUCCUCUUUACCGAUUUGGAUGCCUGUAAGGGCUUUUUGAAUGCUUAGAUACUAACAUUGUUUAUCUUUAUGACAAAUACUUUUUCCAUAUCUAUAAUUUUUCUAUAAACUUUUUUUUCUCUGCUACAUUGCGGCAGACCUUGCUGGACUGAACAAAGGAGGAUGAAUGCAGGAAUAAAGACAAAGAGAAAAGAAUAUAUUUGCAAGAAGGGGUCAGGGGGCUCCUUGAUUUAGUGAACAGGGGCCCUGAACUUCUAGAGCCCUUCGUAUUUAUUGAGUAAAGGAGAUAGGGAGAAGGGGGUGGUUGUGGUCAGCCGCUUGACUUAGUGCAGGCCUGCAUGACUGCAUUCUUUGAACAGUAGGCUCCAGAUGUUCCAGUAGAUACCCUCAAGGAGCAUGGCACCAGGGAGUGACUGCCCUCAGCAUACCUUCUGGUGGCAGGCACAGAUGUGAAUUUGCCCACAUUAUGCAUUCAUGAUAAACAGUUUGCUGUUUAAUCAUAUAGCUUCCAGGGGAAUGCUGAGUUGGUCAUGACCCUCAGGCUUUCGGCUCCCAACACUACAUGAAAACUUUUACAUUUCAUAUGGCCAAAUUUGUUAAUAUUUUCUUCUUACUUUUUGGUUUCCUGUAUAGUGUAGAAGGUCUCUUCCACCCCCAACUUUUAGUCUGCUAGAGUUUUCUUUAGGAUUAAUAUUAUUACCUUUUAUAGAGUAUGGAAUUCAUAGUUAGAACUGGAGCUGAACCUUUGAAGGAGGGAAAGGAAACAAACACUGACAAAGCAAGGUGGUAGAUCUUGACAACUGAUUUGAUGUGGAGUGGGCACGUCAAAAGGUGUCAGUAUGAGGUAAAAAAUAUAUUACUGAGCUUGUCAGGGGUAUGCGUAGAAUUUUAGGGGAAGUCUAAGUUGUAAAAAAAGGGCUUAUUAAAGUAUCUGUGGGAGGGAGAAACAGAGUAAACAAUACUUAGAUGUUGGAACAUAAAACCAAUGUUGGGCAUUAGGAACAAAUACUUGGAAACAAAUGCUGGAAGGGUUAGGUAUAAACAAUAUCAGAGAGACAGAAUAAAAGUAGUGGAGAGGCAGUGCGAUUGUGAAGUGAAGUGCAAUUGAGACAGAAGGGGCAUUUCAAAUUGAGAAUUGAAUUCCAAGCUUCUUAAGCUUCUUUACUCACAUCCUGGCUUAUUCAUUUUGGUGGGGGGUCUAAAUAAGGCAGUAAAUGCUUGGAGCAUCUAUACCUUAGUAGUUGAGAAUAUGGCUCGGAUUCAGACUGCCUAAGUUCAGAUCCUUCAGUAGGACGUAUUAAUCAUGCUACCUUGAGAGAGUUACUUAUACUUCCCAUCUGAUACUUGAUUUGCUCAAUGGGGACAAAAAUAAUAUCUACUUCACUAGUUUGUUUUGAGUGUUAAAUGGAUUAGUUAAUGUAAAGUUCUGAGAAUAGUGCUAUUAUUAUAUGACAGUUUAAAUGGCUUCUUACUCAAGGCUGAAAUAAUAAUGUUUGGGUAUGAAACAAUAAAGCACUCCUAUUGGAAACUGUUGAACUUUACUACCUGGGAGCAACAUAUUUUAAUCUAUACAUAGAAACGAUUUGUCUCUGUCACUCAACAAAGUAUUUUUUAUCAGAAUAUUGGAGCAAAGCCUUUGGCAAACAUAGCCAGAUGUGAUGAGAACACUAAAGGCAUUAAAAACUUUGAUCCGUUGGAUAUGUUUCAGAUAUCAAGAGUGUUUAAUCUAAUUAAUACUAAUAUUUCAUAUUAAAUAAUAUUCCAAAUUUGAAACAAUUGAGGACAUAUGGAAAGAUCAUACCUCAAUUUGCUUCAGAUUUGGAUUUUAUGAACUGCAGACUUAAAUUAUUAGCAGGAAUUCUCAUUUUUAAAUUGUCUGUUAAAAUCAAUUAUAAAUGUAAAUUUAUUUAUUUAGUUAUACGGAUUAUCCUCGUUAUUUGGGAGCAGUGUUUCCUGGAACAAUGUGUAUUACUCGUUAUUCUGCAGGAGUUGCAUUGCAAUGUGGACCUGCAAGCUGUUGUGAUUUUCGAACUUGUGUACUGAAAGACGGAGCAAAAUGUUAUAAAGGACUGUGCUGCAAAGACUGUCAAAUUUUACAAUCAGGCGUUGAAUGUAGGCCGAAAGCACAUCCCGAAUGUGACAUCGCUGAAAAUUGUAAUGGAAGCUCACCAGAAUGUGGUCCUGACAUAACUUUAAUCAAUGGACUUUCAUGCAAAAAUAAUAAGUUUAUUUGUUAUGACGGAGACUGCCAUGAUCUCGAUGCACGUUGUGAGAGUGUAUUUGGAAAAGGUAAUAUCUUUUUGUUACAUCUCAAUAGCCCUUAACAUUGUUAUUAACAUUACCAGGAUAAUGGGGAAUAUUUUCAUAUAUAUAAAAUGUGGAAUGUUUUAUAUAGUAUAAAAUGUGGAAUAUUGUUUAUAUAUAUUUUAUUAUAUAUAUAAGCAGAAUGUUUUAUAUAGUAUAAAAUGUGGAAUAUAUAUAUUUUAUUAUAUGUAUAAGCAAACAUAUAUGCACUAAUUCUUCUUUUUAAUGUUUAUAUUUUUUCCAUCUUUGCUGACGUAUAAUUGACAAAAAUUGUAUGUCUGUUUUUAGGUGUAUGAUUUUGUUUUGAUAUAUGUAUACAUUGUGAAAUAUUUGCCACAGUUAAGUUGAUUAACAUGUCCAUCAUCUCACAUAGUUACCAUUUUCUUUUUUAUCCUUUAAAAGAAUUUUUGUAUCUAUCCUUUUUGCAGAUUUCAAAUAUAUAAUAGAAUGUCGUUUACUAAAGUCACAUUGUUGUACAUUACAUCUCUUGAACUUAUUUAUUUUGCAUAACUGAAAUUUUGUACCCCUUGACUAGCAUUUUGCCAUUUCUCCCCUUACCUCAGCCUCUUGCAACCAUCAUUCUACUCUCUGCAUUUUUGAGUUUGACAAUUUUAGAUUGUAUAUAUAAGUGAGAUCAUGCGUUAUUUACCUCUCUGUAUCUAGCUUAUUUCACUUAGCAUAAUGGCCUCCAGGUUCAUCUGUGUUAUUGCAAAUGGCAGGAUUUUCCUCCUUACUCUGACUGAAUAAUAUUGCAUUUUGUGUGUUUGUGUAUAUGUAUAUAUCUAUAUAAACACAGACAUAUAUAUAUCAUAUUUUUAAUACAUUUAUCUGUUUACCUAAGCUAAAAGUGAACUUUCUUCUCUUACACUCAGAACACAAAUAAAACUCUGACUUUCAUUCCAUC